UAUCCGACUAUUCUACGGCAUUGUUCGGCUCAUUCAUCAGAGGCUUAGAAAGAGACAGGAGCUAUCGUUUUGAGACUUUUCCUUGCCAUUGGAGGACUUGCUGACACCAUUCUGGGUAGAUUCGCUUGACUAGGAAGAGUUGGUGGACGAGUGCCUCUACAACUCAGCACCUCAAUUACGGAUGGAAAAUCUCUU